GUUCAUCAAUGAACCCCUCUCUUCUCUUGGUGAUGUCAUCUCUGCUCUUGCAACUAAAACAACCCAUGUUCCAUACAGAAACUCAAAGCUUACGCACAUGCUGCAGAGCUCUUUAGAUUAGUCCUAGCGCUGCAGACAUAGGGGAGACUUUAUGCUCCCUGAAAUUUGCUAGUCGAGUCAAGGAAAUCGAAUAUGGUCUAACUCGCAAGCAGACAGAUAAUUCUGAGCUCCUCAAGUAUAAGCAUCUGGCUGAGAAACCAAAGCAUGAUGAAAAAGAAGCAAAGAAACUGCAGAACAAUGUAUAAUCUUUACAGCUAAGGCUUUAUGCCAGAGAGCAUAUCUGCAGAAAUCUCCAGGAGAAGGUGCGAGACCUUGAGAAUAGACUGGCAGAAGAGAGGAAAACUAGACAGGUACAGGAAAAUAGAGUUGCUUCUACGAUCAGACAGCCAAGACAGGCACAUAAGACCAUGGAGAAAAGGCCUCCACAAAACCUCUACCUUUUACGUCUCGUCUCUUACAGAUUUUCUGAUUCUUCUCUCUUAUUUUAGAUUCUUAAUCCACCAUGUCGUUAAUUGCAAGUCUUAAUUAUCAUGGAUGACUCUUGAUAAAUUCUGGUUCUGAAAUACUCCUAUACUGAGCAGGUUAUAAAGGAGAUGACAGAUGGGGGUGCUGAUCGACUACUACUUCGAGUGUGUGGGCAUGUCAUCUUUGGUGGAAGAAGCUUCUUCUUACUGC